GGGGCUGAUUCUGGAUUCGACGGGAUUUGCGAAACCCAAGGUGCAUGCCGAGGGGCGGUUGGCCUCGUAAAAAGCCGCAAAAAAUAGUCGCAAACGACGAAAACUACGCUUUAGCAGCUUAAUAACCUGCUUAGAGCCCUCUCUCCCUAGCCUCCGCUCUUAGGACGGGGAUCAAGAGAGGUCAAACCCAAAAGAGAUCGCGUGGAAGCCCUGCCUGGGGUUGAAGCGUUAAAACUAAUCAGGCUAGUUUGUUAGUGGCGUGUCCGUCCGCAGCUGGCAAGCGAAUGUAAAGACUGACUAAGCAUGUAGUACCGAGGAUGUAGGAAUUUCGGACGCGGGUUCAACUCCCGCCAGCUCCACCA
rnacentral:tmRNA from 1 species